rnacentral:rRNA from 1 species
AACGAACGCUGGCGGCGUGCCUAACACAUGCAAGUCGUGCGAGAAAGUUCCUUCGGGAGCGAGUAAAGCGGCGCACGGGUGAGUAACACGUAGGUAACCUGCCCCCCAGUCUGGAACAACUAGAGGAAACUCUAGCUAAUGCCGGAUGAGACCACGAUCCCUUCGGGGGUUGCGGCCAAAGAUGGCCUCUACUUGUAAGCUAUCGCUGAGGGAUGGGCCUGCGGGCCAUUAGCUUGUUGGUGAGGUAACGGCUCACCAAGGCUGUGAUGGCUAGCUGGUCUGAGAGGAUGACCAGCCACACUGGGACUGAGACACGGCCCAGACUCCUACGGGAGGCAGCAGUGGGGAAUAUUGCGCAAUGGGCGUAAGCCUGACGCAGCGACGCCGCGUGGGUGAUGAAGGCC